rnacentral:lncRNA from 1 species
CCGCACUCAUCUUAGGGGCAUUUUAGUAAUCUCACGUAUAACAUAUGGUAUGAUUAAAAAUUUACUAUAAUUUUAUUCUAUCGAUCAUAGAUAAUAGAGUGCGAUUAGAUAGAAAAUAUAAAAAUAAGAAUAAAUAAGUGAAAACCUAAAGCGCAUUCGAAAUCAUGGGGUAGAAUCCAUCUAAAUAUAAAAAAGUUAUUUAUAAUUAGAUAAUUAAUUACUACCAACUGUUUACUGACACAGACUUACUGUUUUAGGAUCGAGCGAGCGUGUGAACAAGAAAUUUGGGUUCAAAUGGACCCAUGUAAGGCCCAAGAAGAUUUUUUACUAAUGGGUUAAUUUAAUUAAAUUGUUGCCAAGGGUAUUAGAUUUUAAUGUGGGGCUGCCUUGCAUGGCUGAAUGGGAAAACAGUUUGACACCUGCUGCUACACAAACCAACUGAAUAUACAUGAGUCAUGACAACUUAACCAUGAGGUGGCACCAUGUUAUUAAUAGGUAGUGUGAACAAGGAAUAAGUUUGAUUGAAAGAUGCUUAUGCAAACAAGGUGGCAGUAACUUAGAUUAGGUAAGGAUAGUUAUUGGUUUUUUGAUAAAAUGGGAAAACACCUACUGCUUCUAAUAGAUAAGGAUGGUUAUGAAAUGGACACCUCGGAUAGUUAUUGGUUUUUUGAUAAAAUGGGAAAACACCUACUGCUUCUAAAAGAUAAGGAUGGUUAUGAAAUGGACACCUCAUACUUCUGUUCAUUUGAGUUGGGUAUUUUGUAUCAAUCUAUGAGUGAGAGAGAACCGUUCUUGAUUGGAAACGUUGGAUCACUUGAAUUCUAUUUAAUAUAUUACAUGUACCCAUGAAUUGAAGGAGGCAUAUCCAGUUACAUAUCAAAGAUUGAAUGAAGAUAUUUCUUGAGUCAGAUUGAAGUCCUUAUAAGAUGGGUUGGUGGUGAUUAUCAAACGAGCAACUAGUGUUUGGGGUCAAGAGUUACUAGCUAAGCAAGAAGAUAAGAAAUUAAGGUUGUUGGUGAAGUUUGGCUACUAAGAAUUGUUGGUGACAAGUACUUUUGUGAUUUUGGCUGCGGGUUACAAGCACACUCAUUGAUGAGUUAUUUCUACCACAUGAACUGAAUUAAUAAUGAAAAUGAAACCAAAUGGAAACACCCACAAAUUAUUUUGGCAAAAGUUGGUGAUGGUGGGAUUAAUGGUUGGAACCCAUAUUUUCUGGAGCUUGUCAUAUAACUACUUUGGGACUUGAGUUUUUAGACGCUAUUCAAGAGCGAGCAAGAGGUAGGGACUUACAUUUCUUUUAUACUGUUUUCAUGUGUCAUAUUUUAAAUGUUGCAAAUUAAUUGACAUAUUAUUGAUGAUAAAAAUGCAUGCAUGGUUUUGUUCGGUAUAUAUAAAUUACUCUUGGUUUAUCAAUUAUAGUUUUUAUUAAAGUGAUUAGUUACAGAUAUCAUGUUUUAAACUGGAGUUAUGAAAGCAGUAUAUGUAUAUUGAAAUGGUUUUAUAAACGGAUUUCUCGAUAAAUCUUUUUCCAAUGGUGGAAAAGAUUUGGUUUUGUAAUGCAGGGCAAGGAAACCCGAUUGUAAUAUAUAACUGGGAUGUGUGAGGUCCCUAGAUUGAUGGAAAUAUUGAUCUAGUAUGCUGUCACGAUUAUGGCUGUGGCCCGGUUAGGGUAACCAACUGUACGGAUCAUAUUUGAUUGUGGCUGUGGCCCGGUUAGGGUAGCCAUGGAUAUUGUUUAAAUCUGGGGACUCACCACACAUUUAUAUAUAUGGUAUAUAUAGUUAAUAUAUAAUGAGGUCGUUUGGAGAGGGACCUGUGAAUUCCUAUAAUGAAUGAGUUGUUGUCAUAUUCCGGAGACGGCAGUUCAUUCUAGGAUGACAUCUAUGGUGUUCACCUUUAGAAGGUGAAUGGGCCGCCUUCUAGAGAGAUACAUUAAAGAUGUAUCCGGGAAUUCUUUUUCACCAUUCCAGACCACCAUUUAUGUAGUGGUACGUUGUUGAUAUAUUAGUUCAGAUGAGGCUACAUGUUACCUCGAUGAGGUUUAGAGGCAAGGGGUGAGAGUUAGUCCACUCCUGGACGUGUGUCAGGAUCCUGUGCAGUCUGCAGUCGUCGAACGGUUGACCACCGUAAGCCAGGGAUUCCUCGUAUCAGGAAUCGUGGUCAAAGGCCUACCUGAGCCUAAAUGGACGGGUUUAGUGUUCUUGGAACACAACAACGGUAAUACAGUCACCCCACCGGAAAUCAGGAAAUAACGGUGCAGGUUCACACUGGUAAGUACUGAACUAAGAGAUUGCCUGCGUCCGGGGCGGUAUAGCGGUCGUACCUCAUCAUUCUAAUAGGAUGCAACUACCCGACUUAUUGUAUGGAUUCAUGGUUAGUAUGAUUACUAUAAAAGGUAAAAGUUUUGGUUUAAAAGUAUUUACUUAUCAAAUUACUUAUGUAUUUUAUUAUUAUAGUUAAAACCUGCAUUAUUUCAACUGUUUCGUAUGGUUAAUCGUCAUGCAUGAUUAGAUAGUAUUUUGGAAAUGUGAGUCACUACUGAGCAAGUGAAAAUGCUCACCCUAUCAUUAACCCCUUUCUAGUUAAACCGUUGCUCGAGGUUAGAUCGAUUCGGCAGAUAUGGUUGUGCGGAGGUUACAAUGGGUAUUGGUAUAGGUAUUCGUGCAAUAGGUAUACGUAGUUUCUUUUGUAUAAAAGUGAUCACAGUUUAUAUUAUUAUGUAUUGUACUAUUUUAUGUAUUUUUAAAGCCAAUUAUAUAGAUGAAUAUCAUUCAGAAUCUUGUAUUAUAAUAUUAUUAUCAUGGGUUGGGUUAUUCAAAUGCCUCGAGAUCUGACAUUGAGUCAUAGGGAUUCGUGUUAUGGUUUUGGGGCUUUAGGAUGAAAAAUCUAUAACUAAAAAUAAUUAAUAAAAUUGUAAAGACUAAAUCUUAUUUUUGUCUAUUGUAGUCCUAUGUGUAUUUCUAGUAUUAUAUUAGUUUCGUAUAGAUACCUUUCGAUCUAUGGUGCUGUGAAUUGCACAUUGAUUUUCCCAACUUGAACUAGCUCUUGAUAUUCGGGAGCCAACCCAGCGAAGAUAACAGAUGGAAUACUAGAAUUUGUGGAUUGACUAGAUCUAGAUGAUUUGGGAAAGCUUGGGUUUAGAUUUGAUCUGUUAAUAUGUGCAUCUAUUGGUGAUUAUGAUAAUAUUAUUUGAUGUGCAGUUUUAUUUAGUAGUUAUAUUAAGAUAAGAGAAUCGUCAUUUGAUGUCAUUCUUUGAAGGGUGUUUGAUUUUCAAUGAAAUUUGGAAAAAUUAACUUGAUCUUGAUGAUUAUUGAUAUACAAUUAUGAAAGGAGAUUCAUUUGGGAAGUUAUUUUGAUCAGUUAUAAUAUUUUGAAGUCUCGAGGCUACAAAAAUCUGUUCUGUUGCUCGACAUAUAUUUUUUGAAUUCGUGGAACAUUAGGAGACAGUUCAUAAUUGAAAUUUUAGACAAAAAAGUUAGUAGUUUACCAUUAUUAUAUUAAGUGCUUCUUUAAGGAAGUAGUCUAUGAAAUAAGCUAUUAUGGAAAAAUUUAUUAGAAAUAUUUUGGAGAUUUUGAAUAUUAUUUGAGGAUUAUGCAUUAUAUUGUUUCUGGUGGCUAUAAUAGAAAGAAUUUGUUAUAAGCAAAGUAUAGUGAUUUUGAUAGAGUCCCGUAAGAAUUGGGAACUGAUCUAAAGACCAUUCCAUUAUAGGUAUGUCUAUAAUACAGAGUAACCGAGAUUUGUGAAGACUGGAAUCUAUUAGAGGAACAUUAGGAAAUUUUUAUUGUUAGGAUUUGUACAGGUGUUAUUCUGCGCUAUGGGAAUUCUGUAUUAUCUGUUAUACUGUCUAGUAUGUUAUAUUACUACCUUGAUGUAUAUACUUAUAUAGGUACAUAUGAUUUCACCUGUAGUUAUUGUGCAUAGGGGAUAAAUAUUAUUACUGUAUGUAAAUUUUGUGUGUGUUUUGUAAACCAUAUAGUCUACUACAUAUUAUAGUUAUAUUUACUACCAGGGGUUAGAAUGUGCGAUUAUAUAUCACUACAGGAUGAGUUUGUAGGUAGAGUAUGUAUUAGUAUUUUGAAGACUUAUGGAAGACGUUCAAUCUCUUAAGGUAAUACUAAAGUACUAUGAGAUCAUUUUAUAUAGAAAGUUGACAAUGGUCUAUUCAUUCUUUACUAGACAAAUAGUUUGGGAUUAUCAAUAUUAUAUGAUGGUGGGAUAUGAAUGGUCUCAAUUCUAAAUGAUUACAGUGAUUAAGAAAUGAUUCUGACCUUGUGAUUUAGGUUUUGGAAAAGAAAACUGGAACCUUAGGGCAAUAAUGAUUGGAUUCCAUAUAGUGAAAUAUUUGAUGAUAUACGUUUUAAUUGGCUUAAGGUUUGAAAUGAUAUUUGGUGGUUUAAUAUGUGAACGGCGUAGCUGUUAAGGAUUUUAUGUAAAUCUCUAAGACGUCUGUAGAACACAUUUACUGAAUAAUUUUGAGGAGUAAUGAAUAAUUGUAUUUAAUAGUUUUUUUUGAGAGAAUUAACUAAUUUAUAUUGCAGUCUGUCUUCAGAAGAUUUUCAAUCAUGAAUUUUUUUGAGGAGAUAAAAAAUUAUGAAAAUAUGGGACUUUGGGAAUUUCAUCUUAACUUUACUAGUUAUAUAUAGAACGAACUUUGGAGCUAUAUGAGAGCCUUAGUGAGAUAUGAUAUUUGAUUGUAUAUUAUAGCUAGUUUAUGUAAUGUAUAUAUUUUCAGAUAUUUAAAUAUGAUAUUCUGUUUAUAUAAGUCGAUACACGUUGUUAUAUAGCUAUUUGAUUCUUAGGCGUGUGGCCAAUAUAAUAUGUGGGUAUUAGUCCUGUUAUGUGCUUAUAUAUUUUUGGAUUGUAUAGGUUAGAGAUAUAGCCUUUUAGCAAGCAUAGGUUUUAGUAAGGAGUAAACUAGAUUUUAUGAAGGGUAGGCAAUUGUGGGAUUUUAUGAUAUGAUAACUCUAGCAGUGUAGGUAAGUUAGUACAAAUACUUGUACUGCCAGUUAAGGAAAGCUAACUAUUGUAAUUUGAUUCACUUGUUAAUCUUUUGGGAAAGUCCAUAUCAUUUUCUUCGGAGUAACUAUCAAGCUUUGGAGUUAUAAAAGAGUGAUUUGAACCCUAAUAUGAAUAAUCGAUUAAAUAAGUACAAUUAGUAUUUUAUGAACAUGGUGAUGUGAUGUUAUUGAGGUUGAUCUAAAUCUUAGUAGUCUGUACAAUCUAAACAUAUAGAAAUUUUUGAUGCAUUUUGGGACAUUGAAUGGAUUAGGAUUUUGAAGUGAAUUUUACAAUCUGAUAAUCAAUAUUGAUACACAUAUAUCUUGAAUUAACAGAAAAGUUGGAUUAAUGACCAGUCACUUAUUUAUGUUAAUUGGCAGACUUAUUUAAUGAAGCUUUGAAACGGGUGACUUUGAUAAAAUUUUGUGGUACAGUAAUCUUGUGUGAAUCUUUUGACAUUGUGACAUUUUGGGAACACUGUAAGGAGUAGACCAUAUCAUGUUUUCUUUGUUGUGUAUAUUUUGGGUAUAUAUUUAUCGACACCUUAUGUGGUAUUUAAGUUGAGAAAUUAAUUGGUGACUCAUCUUUUACCAGUAGUAAUUUCUAUUUUGGGCGUCUUAGGUGUAUGCAUGUUCCAAUCCUUUGAGUGUCUGUACUAUGGAUAAGAAGUUAUAUCUAUAGAACCCUUAGUAAUAGUACGAUUUAUGGAGAUAGUAUUGAUUUUUGGGAUUUUAACUGGAAUAUAGAAUCAUUAUGCUUCUUUGGCAUUGUGGAUUUUUGAGAUUAUAUAGGCAUAUGUAUUUUUGCGAGUAAAUUCGUACACUUUUGGGGACUUUCUGGUAUAUUGGUUUAAGUUGUUAAUCUCCUAGAUGUACAGUAAUGGUUUUACGUAUUGGGUUGUUGAAGAUUAUUGCUAUAUAUAAUUUGAGAAACUCUAUAUUGUACACUAUUCUAAUUUCGAGGACGAAAUGUCUUUUAAGGUUUAUAGGAUGUAACGACCCGCACUCAUCUUAGGGGCAUUUUAGUAAUCUCACGUAUAACAUAUGGUAUGAUUAAAAAUUUACUAUAAUUUUAUUUUAUCGAUCAUAGAUAAUAGAGUGCGAUUAGAUAGAAAAUAUAAAAAUAAGAAUAAAUAAGUGAAAACCUAAAGCGCAUUCGAAAUCAUGGGGUAGAAUCCAUCUAAAUAUAAAAAAGUUAUUUAUAAUUAGAUAAUUAAUUACUACCAACUGUUUACUGACACAGACUUACUGUUUUAGGAUCGAGCGAGCGUGUGAACAAGAAAUUUGGGUUCAAAUGGACCCAUGUAAGGCCCAAGAAGAUUUUUUACUAAUGGGUUAACUUAAUUAAAUUGUUGCCAAGGGUAUUAGAUUUUAAUGUGGGGCUGCCUUGCAUGGCUGAAUGGGAAAACAGUUUGACACCUGCUGCUACACAAACCAACUGAAUAUACAUGAGUCAUGACAACUUAACCAUGAGGUGGCACCAUGUUAUUAAUAGGUAGUGUGAACAAGGAAUAAGUUUGAUUGAAAGAUGCUUAUGCAAACAAGGUGGCAGUAACUUAGAUUAGGUAAGGAUAGUUAUUGGUUUUUUGAUAAAAUGGGAAAACACCUACUGCUUCUAAUAGAUAAGGAUGGUUAUGAAAUGGACACCUCGGAUAGUUAUUGGUUUUUUGAUAAAAUGGGAAAACACCUACUGCUUCUAAAAGAUAAGGAUGGUUAUGAAAUGGACACCUCAUACUUCUGUUCAUUUGAGUUGGGUAUUUUGUAUCAAUCUAUGAGUGAGAGAGAACCGUUCUUGAUUGGAAACGUUGGAUCACUUGAAUUCUAUUUAAUAUAUUACAUGUACCCAUGAAUUGAAGGAGGCAUAUCCAGUUACAUAUCAAAGAUUGAAUGAAGAUAUUUCUUGAGUCAGAUUGAAGUCCUUAUAAGAUGGGUUGGUGGUGAUUAUCAAACGAGCAACUAGUGUUUGGGGUCAAGAGUUACUAGCUAAGCAAGAAGAUAAGAAAUUAAGGUUGUUGGUGAAGUUUGGCUACUAAGAAUUGUUGGUGACAAGUACUUUUGUGAUUUUGGCUGCGGGUUACAAGCACACUCAUUGAUGAGUUAUUUCUACCACAUGAACUGAAUUAAUAAUGAAAAUGAAACCAAAUGGAAACACCCACAAAUUAUUUUGGCAAAAGUUGGUGAUGGUGGGAUUAAUGGUUGGAACCCAUAUUUUCUGGAGCUUGUCAUAUAACUACUUUGGGACUUGAGUUUUUAGAAGCUAUUCAAGAGCGAGCAAGAGGUAGGGACUUACAUUUCUUUUAUACUGUUUUCAUGUGUCAUAUUUUAAAUGUUGCAAAUUAAUUGACAUAUUAUUGAUGAUAAAAAUGCAUGCAUGGUUUUAUUCGGUAUAUAUAAAUUACUCUUGGUUUAUCAAUUAUAGUUUUUAUUAAAGUGAUUAGUUACAGAUAUCAUGUUUUAAACUGGAGUUAUGAAAGCAGUAUAUGUAUAUUGAAAUGGUUUUAUAAACGGAUUUCUCGAUAAAUCUUUUUCCAAUGGUGGAAAAGAUUUGGUUUUGUAAUGCAGGGCAAGGAAACCCGAUUGUAAUAUAUAACUGGGAUGUGUGAGGUCCCUAGAUUGAUGGAAAUAUUGAUCUAGUAUGCUGUCACGAUUAUGGCUGUGGCCCGGUUAGGGUAACCAACUGUACGGAUCAUAUUUGAUUGUGGCUGUGGCCCGGUUAGGGUAGCCAUGGAUAUUGUUUAAAUCUGGGGACUCACCACACAUUUAUAUAUAUGGUAUAUAUAGUUAAUAUAUAAUGAGGUCGUUUGGAGAGGGACCUGUGAAUUCCU